rnacentral:rRNA from 1 species
UACGUAGGGCGCAAGCGUUGUCCGGAAUUAUUGGGCGUAAAGGGCGCGUAGGCGGUGCGGUAAGUCACCUGUGAAAUCUCCUGGCUCAACUGGGAGCUUACAGGCGAAACUGCCGUGCUGGAGUGUGGGAGAGGUGCGUGGAAUUCCUGGUGUAGCGGUGAAAUGCGUAGAUAUCAGGAGGAACACCUGUGGCGAAAGCGGCGCACUGGACCACAACUGACGCUGAGGCGCGAAAGCUAGGGGAGCAAACAGG